GACGAACGCUGGCGGCGUGCUUAACACAUGCAAGUCGAACGAAAAGGCCCGGCGUUUGUUGCUUUCUCGAUUGGCGAACGCGUGUGUAACACGUGUGUAACCUGCCCUUGUCUUUGGGAUAACUUCUGGAAACUCGGGCGAAUACCGGAUAUGAUCUCCUGCUCCGUAUGGGGGAUUAGAGAAUUUGGGCUUUUGGGGAUGUUCUCGAGGGUUAUCAGCUUGUUUGUGUGGUAGUUGCUUUCCAGGGCUUUGACGGGUAGCCGGCAUGAGAGCGUUACCGGCGACCUUGGGACUGCGAUACGGCCCAGAAUCCUACCGGCGGCAGCAGUGGAGAAUCUUGCACAACGGGGGGACGCGUGAUGUAGAAACGCCGCGUGCGGGAUGCCCGCUUUUGGGUUGUAAACAGAUUUCGCAGGUGCCAAAGAGUGAGUGACGGUAAUGGGUAAAGAAGCCACGGCUAACUACGUG
rnacentral:rRNA from 1 species